ACUCAGUAGAGGAAGUUGAGAUGGAGCAGUCACAGGAACAAUAAAUACCUCCACCUUGCCUGGGCCCGGAGCCACAGGAGACCCUGCAGAAGGUGAAGAAUGUUCUGGAACAAUGCAAGUCCUGCCCAGGCUGCCCCCAGGAGCCAGCGUCCUGGGGUCUCUGUGCGGCAUCCAGCAACAUGAGCUUGCAGGAUCCUGAGGAGCCCUCCUUCUGCUUGGAAGCUGAGGACGACUGGGAAGACCCAGAGGCCAUGAGCUCACUGCUGCUGUUCCUGAACGCCCCCGGGUACAAGGCCAGCUUCCGUGGCCUGUAUGAUGUGGCGCUGCCAUGGCUGAGCAGCGUGUUCUGCAGCUUUAGCGACAAGAGGAGCUGACUGGGCGCCUGGCACAGGCCCGAGGGGCGGCCAAGAAAGCUGGCCUCCUCAUGGCCCUGGCCAGGCUCUGCUUCCUCCUGGGGUGGCUGCGCUGCAGGAGGCUCAAGCUGUCCCAGGCCCGGGUGUACUUUGAGGAAGCACUGGGGGCCCUGGAGGGAAGCUUCGGGAACCUGUUCUAGGUGGUGGCUGUGUACGCCAACCUGACCAGCAUUUACCGGAAGCAGAAGAACCGGGAGAAGUGUACACAGGUGGUUCCCAAAGCCAUGGCCCUGCUUCUGGGGAUGCCUGGCCACAUCUGCAGCACUGAGGCAGAGGGGGAGCUCCAGAAGCUGGCACUGCGGUGGGCGGUGGGCGGCCAGAACCUGCAGGCUGAGGCGUGGGCCUGCUUCCUGCUGGUCAGGCACCACGUGUACCUCAAGCAGCCCGAGGAGGCCCUGCCCUUCCUAGAGUGGCUGCUGCUUUUGCACAGGGACUCAGGAGCCCCAAAGGCUGCGUAGCUCUCAGACCGCUCCCUACUCCUGGCUGACAUCUACAGCCGCAAGUGCCUGCCCCACCUGGUGCUGAGCUGUGUCAAGAUGGCCUCAUUGAGGGCACAGGACUCGUGGGCCUGCUCGCUGAGGAGCAUGAACCUGGUGCUCCAGAACGUCCUCCAGCCCUACAACCUCCCCACCCAGACUUCCCACUACCUCAGGCGAGCGCUGGCCUCCCUAACCCCAGGCACAGGCCAGGGAGUGCGCAGCCUUCUCCACCUCAGCCUGGCCCAGCUGUACAGCCACCAUGGCUACCAUGGCCCGGCCAUCACCUUCAUGAUGCAAGCCAGUGCUGUUGCCAGAGUCCGUGCCAUUGUGGACUGCCUGGUGGCUCUGGCCUGGCUGCAUGUGCUUCAUGGGCAGGGCCCGGUGGCCCUGGACAUCCUGCAGUCUGUCCAGGAUGCAGUGGUGGCCAGCGAGGACCAGGAGGGCGUGAAUGCCAACAUGGUGGCCGUGGCUCUGAAGAGGAUGGGCUGGACGAGGCAGGCAGCCAAAGGCUACUACCGUACCCUGCGGGCGGCUCAGGACCUGGGCCUGCGGAGGAACCAGGCAGUGGUGCUGGCCAACUUCGGGGCCCUGUGCCUGCACAUGGGUGCCAGCAGGCUGGCCCAGCACUACCUCCUGGAGGCCGUGCAGCUGUUCUCGAGGCUGCCCUGCAGGGAGUGUGGCCGGGACUUCACCCACGUGCUCCUGCAGCUGGGCCACCUCUGCACCCAUCAGGGCCCGGCCCAGCAGGGCAAGGGCUACUACGAGUGGAUCCUUCUGGUCGCUGUAGAGAUGGGCCACCUGGAGAGGCCUACAAAUCCGCUUUGGACUACACGAAACGAAGUCUGGGGAUUUUCGUCGACCUCCAGAAGAAAGAGGAGGCGGCACAUGCCUGGCUGCAAGCAGGGAAGAUCUAUUACAUCCUGCAGCAGAGCAAGCUGGUGGACCUGUACAUCCAGUGGCCAGCAUCUUCUCCCUGAGGGCAGAGGCGUGGCCACUCAGUUAACACACAGAAGAACCUGCUCCAAGCGACACGUGGUACAUCUCCUUACAAAAUGCAUCUAUUGUAGCGGCUGUCUUCAGAGGCUUUCCCAAACACGGUGGCACAGAAUGUGGCCUUGUACACAGGCGACCCCAACCUCGGGCUGGAGCUGCUUGAGGCAGCUGGAGACAUCGUCCAUGGGGCCUGGGAGCGGGAGAAAGCCGUGUCCUACCAGGGAACGAGCGCAUGGCCUACCACCGGCUGGGCCAUGGCAAGCUGGCGGAGCACUUCUACCUCAAGGCCCUGUCGCUCUGCAACUCGCCGCUGGAGUUCGACGAGGAGACCCUCUACUACGUGAAGGUGUACCUGGUGCUCAGUGACAUCAUCUACGACCUGAAGGACCCGUUUGAUGCAGCCGGGUACUACCAGCUGGUACUGGCAGCCACCGUGUGCCUGGUCAACAAGAAGGCACAGCUGAAGAUCUACACGCGGCCGGCCACCAUCUCCCACAGCUUCCUCCUGGACCGCGAGAAGUCGCUCUUCUUCUACCAGAAGGCCAGGACCUUCGCCACAGAGCUCAACAUCUGCAGGGUCAACCUGCCUCCUCUGCCACUCUGCGGGUGGGCCCCCUGGUUGGCCCCAGCCACCCUCGCUGAGGACAGCAUCCGAGGAAGUGGGUUUGUGCGGGGAAGAUGGUCUCCUGCCUCUCCUGGUGUCUCCCGUGGCUCAUUUUCUGGGAAAUGGAGGCAUGAAAGGAGGGGUCAAAUAGCAAUAAAUGUUUUUUUUUUUUUUUUUG
ensembl:lincRNA